rnacentral:rRNA from 1 species
AGUGAACGCUGGCGGUAGGCCUAACACAUGCAAGUCGAACGGCAGCACAGUAAGAGCUUGCUCUUACGGGUGGCGAGUGGCGGACGGGUGAGGAAUACAUCGGAAUCUACUUUUUCGUGGGGGAUAACGUAGGGAAACUUACGCUAAUACCGCAUACGACCUACGGGUGAAAGCAGGGGAUCUUCGGAUCUUGCGCGAUUGAAUGAGCCGAUGUCGGAUUAGCUAGUUGGCGGGGUAAAGGCUCACCAAGGCGACGAUCCGUAGCUGGUCUGAGAGGAUGAUCAGCCACACUGGAACUGAGACACGGUCCAGACUCCUACGGGAGGCAGCAGUGGGGAAUAUUGGACAAUGGGCGCAAGCCUGAUCCAGCCAUACCGCGUGUGUGAAGAAGGCCUUCGGGUUGUAAAGCCCUUUUGUUGGGAAAGAAAAGCAGCAGGUUAAUACCCCGCUGUUCUGACGUUACCCAAAGAAUAAGCACCGGCUAACUUCGUG